GGGCUAUCACUACGCACAACAAAUGCAUCUAAAGUCCUCCUCAACCCUGAAAUUCCAGAGGCAGACCAAAUUAUUGAGAGGUAUUGCGAAAGAGAUGUUAUUCCAACUAUGAUUGGAAUCGAUGAAAGCACCCAAGGAACAAUUGAAGAGCAAAUGUUGUACAACAGAAAAACAUUGAGGGAAAUUAUAGAACUGCGAUAUGCUGAUGUCAAAAGAAAGGUACCUACUUAAACUGAAGGUACGCGAUGGCACAGCAACAACAACUUUCGUGGUGUUUAACGAGGUAGCAAAGAGUCUUUUAGGCAACAUAUCUGCAUCGACCCUAUUAGAGCAGGAGGGAUUUAACAACACGGUACCAGAUGUUAUUCAGAAUCUUUAUGGCAGAACACUCAUAUUGCGACUGAAGUUAAAUUCAAGGAAUCUAGAAGAGUGUAUGGAAAAUUAUAAAGUGAGCUACACUUUUGAAGUUGAUGACAAACUUGAGAUGGAAAAUUCAAAUGAAAUGGCUGAAGAGGUAUGCAUGCACAUUUGAGUAUUUUAAAUGGCUUAUAAAAUUAUAAUAUGAGCACACUCUUUAUAGGGCAUACUGGAAAUGCAAGACACACGAGGUUCUUCAAAUUCUGAUAUGCACAAUUUCCAUAACGAGGUGAACCACUCCUCCAAGAAUGCAACAAAUGAUGAGAAGAAGGAUAUGUGCAGAAAGGAAACCUCAAUAUCAUCCAACAAAAAACAACAAUGGAGGACAAAGAUACAGAAGUCUAGCAAAAGAUAUGAAAAAGAUGUGAGACCGGUUGCUUCUAGAACAGUUGUUAAAAUUGAAGCUCCUGAUGAUGAGGUAACAAAUUGAAAACAUUAUCUCCCUGUAUCUGCAUUCAUAAUUGA